UUAAAUACAGUGAAUAGGAAGAGUAUAAGACAUUAUAUCUUAUAGAGAGUUAGUGAUUGGUGGAAACUAACAGGUAUAGUUUUAGAAGGUAGCCUAGGAGUAGUUAUAAUGAAAUUAAUAGUAGUUAUAAACGUAAACUUGCGUUAAAAGAUCGAGUGCUUAGCUAAAGCUAGGAACAAAGGUGGUACCACGGAUUAUAAAUAGUUCGUCCUUAUU
rnacentral:ncRNA from 1 species